ensembl:snRNA LOC120099491 U1 spliceosomal RNA
GUGUUGGCAUAGCAGAAGUGACACCAUGAUCAUGAAGUUGGUUUCCACACGGUGAGGCUUAUUCAUUCACUCCAGUUGUGCUGAUUCCUGACUCCUGUGGUGCCUCCCCCACCCAUGUGGGAAAGUCAACUGCAUUAAUUUCUGACAGUGGGAGAAUGUUCGCUCUCUCUCCCC